GUGCCAGCAGCCGCGGUAAUACGGGGGGAGCAAGCGUUGUUCGGAUUUACUGGGCGUAAAGGGCGCGUAGGCGGCCAGUGCAAGUCAGUUGUGAAAUCUCCGAGCUUAACUCGGAAAGGUCAACUGAUACUGCUCGGCUAGAGUGCGGAAGGGGCAACUGGAAUUCUUGGUGUAGCGGUGAAAUGCGUAGAUAUCAAGAGGAACACCUGCGGCGAAGGCGGGUUGCUGGGCCGACACUGACGCUGAUGCGCGAAAGCUAGGGGAGCGAACGGGAUUAGAUACCCCGGUAGUCC
rnacentral:rRNA from 1 species